UACGAAGGGGGCUAGCGUUGCUCGGAAUCACUGGGCGUAAAGCGCACGUAGGCGGAUCUUUAAGUCAGGGGUGAAAUCCUGGAGCUCAACUCCAGAACUGCCUUUGAUACUGGGGAUCUCGAGUCCGGGAGAGGUGAGUGGAACUGCGAGUGUAGAGGUGAAAUUCGUAGAUAUUCGCAAGAACACCAGUGGCGAAGGCAGCUCUCUGGGACGGUACUGACGCUGAGACGCGAAAGCGUGGGGAGCGAACAGG
rnacentral:rRNA from 1 species